ACACCGGCAGCUCUAGUGGUAGCUGUUUUUAUUGGGCCUAAAGCGUUCGUAGCCGGUUUGAUAAGUCACUGGUGAAAUCCUGUAGCUUAACUGUGGGAAUUGCUGGUGAUACUGUUGAACUUGAGGUCGGGAGAGGUUAGCGGUACUCCCAGGGUAGAGGUGAAAUUCUGUAAUCCUGGGAGGACCACCUGUGGCGAAGGCGGCUAAUUGGAACGAACCUGACGGUGAGGGACGAAAGCUAGGGGCGCGAACCGGAUUAGAUACCCGGGUAGUCCUAGCCGUAAACGAUGCGGACUUGGUGUUGGGAUGGCUUUGAGCCGCUCCGGUGCCGAAGGGAAGCUGUUAAGUCCGCCGCCUGGGAAGUACGGUCGCAAGACUGAAACUUAAAUGAAUUGGCGGGG
rnacentral:rRNA from 1 species